GAGUGGAGAUGGGAAGAGGCUGAUUUGUAUGAUGGACUGGGCUGUGUCCACAACUCUGCAAUUUCUUAGUCUUUUGCAAAGCAGAGCACUUCCAUAAAAGCUGUGAUGCAUUUGAUAAUUUGCUUUCUACGCUGCACCUUAGAAAUCGGUAAUUCAUUGGAGACAAGCUGAAUUCCGUAGUCUUCUGAGCAAGAGGAAGCAUUUCUG